UGAGUAACCUGCCCUUGACUCUGGGAUAAGCCUGGGAAACUGGGUCUAAUACUGGAUACUACCUCUUGCCGCAUGGUGGGUGGUGGAAAGGGUUUUACUGGUUUUGGAUGGGCUCACGGCCUAUCAGCUUGUUGGUGGGGUAAUGGCUCACCAAGGCGACGACGGGUAGCCGGCCUGAGAGGGUGACCGGCCACACUGGGACUGAGACACGGCCCAGACUCCUACGGGAGGCAGCAGUGGGGAAUAUUGCACAAUGGGCGGAAGCCUGAUGCAGCGACGCCGCGUGAGGGAUGACGGCCUUCGGGUUGUAAACCUCUUUCAGUAGGGAAGAAGCGAGAGUGACGGUACCUGCAGAAGAAGCGCCGGCUAACUACGUGCCAGCAGCCGCGGUAAUACGUAGGGCGCAAGCGUUGUCCGGAAUUAUUGGGCGUAAAGAGCUCGUAGGCGGUUUGUCGCGUCUGCUGUGAAAGCCCGGGGCUCAACCCCGGGUCUGCAGUGGGUACGGGCAGACUAGAGUGCAGUAGGGGAGACUGGAAUUCCUGGUGUAGCGGUGAAAUGCGCAGAUAUCAGGAGGAACACCGAUGGCGAAGGCAGGUCUCUGGGCUGUUACUGACGCUGAGGAGCGAAAGCAUGGGGAGCGAACAGGAUUAGAUACCCUGGUAGUCCAUGCCGUAAACGUUGGGCACUAGGUGUGGGGGACAUUCCACGUUUUCCGCGCCGUAGCUAACGCAUUAAGUGCCCCGCCUGGGGAGUACGGCCGCAAGGCUAAAACUCAAAGGAAUUGACGGGGGCCCGCACAAGCGGCGGAGCAUGCGGAUUAAUUCGAUGCAACGCGAAGAACCUUACCAAGGCUUGACAUUCACCGGACCGCCCCAGAGAUGGGGUUUCCCUUCGGGGCUGGUGGACAGGUGGUGCAUGGUUGUCGUCAGCUCGUGUCGUGAGAUGUUGGGUUAAGUCCCGCAACGAGCGCAACCCUCGUUCUAUGUUGCCAGCACGUGAUGGUGGGGACUCAUAGGAGACUGCCGGGGUCAACUCGGAGGAAGGUGGGGAUGACGUCAAAUCAUCAUGCCCCUUAUGUCUUGGGCUUCACGCAUGCUACAAUGGCCGGUACAAAGGGUUGCGAUACUGUGAGGUGGAGCUAAUCCCAAAAAGCCGGUCUCAGUUCGGAUUGAGGUCUGCAACUCGACCUCAUGAAGUCGGAGUCGCUAGUAAUCGCAGAUCAGCAACGCUGCGGUGAAUACGUUCCCGGGCCUUGUACACACCGCCCGUCAAGUCACGAAAGUUGG
rnacentral:rRNA from 1 species